rnacentral:rRNA from 1 species
ACUCCUACGGGAGGCAGCAGUGGGGAAUAUUGCACAAUGGGCGAAAGCCUGAUGCACGCCAUGCCGGCGUGUGUGAANAACGAGCCUUCGGGUUGUAAAGCACUUUCAGUUGUGAGGAAAGGGUGUUGGUUAAUAGCCUAAUAUNUCUGUGACGUGUAACAUACAGAAGAAGCACCGGCUAACUCC